GAUCAGCCCGCGCCCCGUAAAAAGGGACGGCCCGCCCGAGGACCCCUAAACUCUGUUUUUAGUGGAACUUUUGAGUAAAACAAACAAAUAAAUCAAACCUUUCAACAACGGAUCUCUGGGUUCUGGCAUC
rnacentral:rRNA from 1 species